ensembl:lncRNA
CAUUUUAAAUAUAGCAGAAGUACAUCAUUUUUUUUUUUUAAAUAUCACACCUCCAACAGGAUUUGAGAGCCUAAAUAUUUCUUCAAGUUAGAGUUUAACUUUUUGUUUAGUUUUUUAAAAUCAUUUUCAUAAUGCUACAAGUAAUGAGCUAGGUAAGAUAAGAAAUUCCUGUGUGCAGCACUUUUCAAGACAAAAUGACUUCUUGAAACAAAAUCGCUCAAGUGCUUCCAGUUACAUAAGUGACUCUCAGGGAGUCAGCAUGUAAUGAGAGACAUUAGCUNNNNNNNNCACCAAGUACCAUUUAAGGAGAGCACUGUAGCGGUGUGCCAUACAAUAACGGAGAGUAAUGCCCUGUAGUUUCACAGUUCCUUUCUUUCAAAAAACAUAUAAUGCUUUUACAUAGACCAUUUCCUUUGUCCUAAAAAUGGUUCCUGGAUAGUGCUCUUUAUUAAUACAUUGUUCCCUGGGUGCCACAAGCAAUUCAUGCAAUGAGUGAUUAUUUGAGCUCCUACUAUGUGCCAGGAUGUCACUGAGUCUACAGAGCACUAUAAAACCUCAGGCAUCUCUCUGGAUAGCAGUCUUUUGAGCAGAGGGAGGCAACAAAUUAUAACAGAGAACAUGGCUAAGAAUUCUAACAGGGGUGAAUUCAAAUGCCGUGGUAUCUCAAGAGGACAGAGUAAUGAACUCUCUUUGGAGAAGAGGCUCUAAAGCUUUUAGAGAAGCAACUGUUGAGCAAAGUUCCAACAGUACAACAAAACAAACAUGGAGAUCUCUUUUAUCCAACUUAUUCUUCCAGGUGGACACUGUAUGUUCAUGACACUCAGAGCUGUGAAAAUUGUCUUAGUGGUUGGGGGAAUCUUGAGAGGAAGUCAUGAAAGUAUAACUGGAGGGCCUUUCCAAAAAAAAAUAUGUUCUGCUGUUCCCUGUCUCUGUGCCUGUGUGCUCAGCCAUGUCCAACUCUUUGCAAUCCCAUGGACUGUAGACCGCCAGGCUACUCUGUCCAUGGGCUCUCCCAGGCAAGAAUAUUGGAGUGAGUUGCCAUUUCCUCCUUCAGGGGAUCUUCUCAACCCAGAGGAGGUGUCUCCUGCAUCUCCUGCAUGGGCAGGCUGAUUUUUUUACCACUAGAGUCACCUGGGGAUACUUCCUUCCAUUAUUAGCUAUGGGAGUGUGUGCCAGUUAGUUCAUUCAUGCUGUGCAGACACCUAGUGAUACCUUCUGUGCUCGGGAACCAUUUCAUCAAUUGGAAGAAUGAGCUUUAUAUGAACUAUACUACUUAUAGAGUCCUAUUCCUAAAUUAUUUGAUCCAUCAAACUUAUCUAUGGUGAAUGGCAAAUCCAAGGAAAAUGCAGAUCCAAAGAAGUUACGUAAGUGAUGAAGAAGCUAUUUGUUCUUUCUUAACUGAGCAGUAAAUAUUGCUAAGUGAAGUAAACGUGCUUCCUUCUCCUUGGCAAGAGUACUGCUAGUUGUACUCAUCUUCCCUGAAGAUAGUACUGGUUGGCUGUGCAAUUGGUUGGACACAGACAGCAAGAAUUUAACAAGUUUGAGAAAAGCUGUUGAGGGAAGUUACAGAUUUUCUAUCAUUUCUAUGAUAGCUCUGGUCUAGGAGAAACCUUUCUUAGAGAUGAGGGAUGAGACCAUGGGAAGGUCCCUGGGUGAGCAGUCAGAAAAACUUGGUGCUCGUCCUUGGUUUGGAACUAGAUGUCCCCGUCAUUCAACCAUUCAGAGGUUCAUUUUCUUCAUCUCUGAAAUGGUUUGGGUUAAAUGAUAUCUCAGUUCCCUCCAGCUGUGAUAUUUUAUAAAUAUGUGANNNNNNNNNNGAAGACUCUUGAGAGUCCCUUGGACUGCAGAGAGAUCAAACCAGUCCAUCUAAAGGAAAUUAACCCUGAAUAGUCAUUGGAAGAACUGAUGCUGAAACUGAAGCUCCAAUACUUGAGCCACCUGACAGGAAGAGCCAGCUCAUUGGAAGAGACCUGGAUGCUGGGAAAGACUGAAGGCAGGAGAAGAGGGUGACAGAGGAUGAGAUNNNNNNNNNNNNNNNNNGACUCAAUGGGCAUGAAUUUGAGCAAAUUCUGGGAGAUAGUGGAGGACAGAGAAGCCUAGUAUGCUGCUGUCCAUGGGGUCACAAAGGGUUGGACACAAUUAGCAAUUGAACAACAUGAACAAGAUGACAUUUUCACAGGCUUUUGCACUGAAAUAUUCCUUUGCUCGCGGAGUUCCCUGUUUGUUAUAUAUUUCCCCUGCCCCUUUCCUCUGUCAGAAAUUCUUCAAGGCUCAGGAACAAAUGAAAGAACUAAUAUAUAUUGAGUGCCAUCUGUGUGUCGGGUAUGUGCCAUAUGUGUGAUGAAGAGUGCGGUCAGAUAUCCAGGUUUUUGCCCCUUGCCAUAGUAUAAUUUUUAAUAGUGCCUUCUCAUCCUUUCAGAAAUGUCCUAGUUUAGAUAAUGAUGUGUGUGAUGAUAAAGUUUUUACCAGGUUGCUUAAUUGAGUCCUCACAGCAAUUCUGUGAGAGGGAGAUUAUCACUUUCGCUCUCCAUAUGAGAAGAACUAUAAUUUAGAGAAUGUUAAGGGUUUUAUUCCAAGUCUUACUGCAUAUACAUGCUAAAGUAAUUCUGUCCUGCUGUUCUGACUGUAGAUAUUUUUACUGCACCUUGAUACCUAGAUUGUGCCAUUUUUUUUAAAAGUUAAAAGUCAUUGCUGACUCUGUGCUUCCCCUGGAGACUCCUAGGUUUGUUUUUACUGCUGAAAAAUCAGCUGGAAUACGUAAACAUGGACAUGUCGGACACUUCUCUCAAUGGACUCUUCUAUCCUUUGCGGAUGGAUCCUGUCUUGUUUAUUACCAUAGUAGGUUUUCCAGGUGGCUCAGUGGUAAGGCAUCUACCUGCCAAUGCAGGAGACACAGGAGAUGCAGAUUUGAUCCCUGGGUCCAGAAGAUCCCCUGGAGAAGGAAAUGGCAACCCACNNNNNNNNNNNNNNNNNNNNNNNNNNNNNNNNNNNNNNNNNNNNNNNNNNNNNNNNNNNNNNNUCACUAAUAGUCAGACAUGAGUGAAUGUGAGCACACAGUGUUUAGCCCACUUCAUCUAGAUCCAUGUUUAUAUGCACCUGGGCUGUAUUUUAGAGCUCUUAUUGACAAGGGACCAGAAGACCUUCUUUACAAUUCAGGAUCUCCAGUAUUUUAACUUGUGUGAGUUUGAAGAACAAGUUUUGCUUUUUUGGAGCCAGACUCAACUAACUUUCAGAAGUUGCAAGGGUCAGGGUGGGUAAUAAAAAGAAUUAACAUUUUAUAAUGUUUCUCUUGUGUAGCACCACACUAAAUCCUUUAGAAAACAAUCUCAUUUAGUCUUCAAGAGAACCUCCAUGGUAGAGACUUUGUGUGCUAAGUCACUUCAGUCAUGUCUGACUCUGCGACCCUAUGG